CACGCAUACCCCCGAGUUCGCAAGCGCGAAUCAAAUCGAUUUUGCAGGGGUAGUUCCCUCGUAGUCACACAUUUCGGGUGUCUUUAAAAUUAAUUAUGUUUGUGCUUAUAACAAAAUGAUACGUACUUGGUGCUAAACGUUGUUACAACAUGGCUUUUGCAAACAAUCCCAGUUUGAAAACCCCGACUGUUUUAGAACAGUUACUGGAAGAAAUCAAUUUUCAACGUACUAAAGAAAUGCGACAACUGUUAAAAGAUGAUUCGGGUUUUGUUAUGUUGCAAGGUACGACGUACUGGACCGAUUUAUUUGUCCGGCAUUUUUUAUUCCAAAAUGAAUCGACCAUCGACUGCGACGAUUUGUUAUUUUUUGUGAGGAAGAAACACGUCAAAGGGUCACCGAGAUAUUUACCCAAAUUUGAAACGGAAGUUGAUGUUUUCCGAAAAGACAGUCGAAAAUUACCAAUCGGGGAUCCCGAUAUCGAUUGGGAGGAAACAGUGUAUUUAAAUUUAAUUAUUCAUCAAUUUGAAUACACUUUAACACUAGCCAUUUGUACACGAACCAGUCCGAAAGAACUACAAGUCCUCAAACGACACUCCCAAAAAGUCUACGCGUCUCCAAGUCGUCGAAGAAUGGACACAAAGGGCGAAGUGGAGGAGAUGACUUACCCCCAUAUUUGUUUUAUGGUGGACAACUUCGACGAAGUCUUCCACGACAUUCUCGUCCGCGAUGGUGAAAUGGUUUGUGUUGAGUUGGUGGCCGCUGAUAGGGCGGGUACAGUCCAAGGGGUGAUUUUCCUGGGGUCAAUACGAUACGACGCCCUUAAGAAAGUCUACGAUGCGAGGCAAUCUAGUUUGAGCACGAAAAUGGCCCAAAGAAUGACUUUCGGUCUAUUUUCAAAUGCGAGUAGCCAGCGCUGUGAGUUUGUUCGAAUGAAAGGGCCACAGGGUAAAGGUCAUGCGGAAAUGGCAGUGACCAAGCCCAAGGGUUCAGGGGUCGAAACACCGACUUCGGAACCCGGGUUUUGCGCCACUGAUUUGUGGGAUUCAGACUGGGAUGAAGAUCCGGAAGAGUUCUACGUCUACAGGAAUCAAAGAAGAUUAAGUGACCCAAGUGCUAAUAUUAAUAAUUUUGUUCGUGGGGGGUGGAAGUCGAAGCUGGAUGCGAAAUGUCGGUCUGAAAGUGAAGGCUUGGAUUGCAUCGAUAACGGUGUCAGUGAGAUCGAAGCCGGCGAUUUGCGAGACGAGAGGUCCGGUCCUGCUUCUACAUCCAAGUCGAGUUGCUGCGGUUGUUUCCAAAAGAGAAAACGAGGUUCAAUAACUCUGCUGGAGAUGUAUAGUAGGACGUGCAUGGAUCCGACCAAAUGUGCUCAAAGGGCACCUUUGGGACCUUCUGAUAACAAAUGUUCCUGUCAACCACAAAUUAACAAUUUAAUGAACCAAUCCGAGUACGAAGUUGAGAAAGAGAAAAAGAAGGCUCGAAAAAAAUCCAAACAGAUACGUGAAAAUGCCAAUUAUGCCGAAUUCGAGUUUGCCGAUGAUGCAAUUAGUUUAAAUAAUGAAAGUUUUGACGAACGACCCUUGAGUCGCAACUCWAACUCUUCGAUUAAAGAACCUUCAGCGACCGAUAAUCCCUACAUAAAUGUKAACGGCAAAGAGGAACUCCCAUGUGUUGAAGAAAUUCGCAAGUAUUGCAUAUCUGACAAUAUAUCAGCAUCACCAAAAACCAAGACUGAGUCUAAGAUAAUUAUCACAAAACCCAAUAAUGUAAAUAACGAAAGAAUUACAUUUAAUCGAAAUUUUGACGGCAACUACAAUAAGCUAUCGAUUAAGAGCAUUUACAGUUAUUGCACUUUGCCUAAAAAUAGGAAAUUUGUUAACAAUCACAGAAACCACUACGUUCGCCAUAUCGCCCCUCCGAAACGAAUCACACCCGAUGGGACACACAUUUAUUAUUGGUGUGAUUUAAAGAGGGGACAUAACGAACUGGACGAUGGGGCUUAUAAUCCAUUAUGGACGAUGCGGGGAUUCACUCAAACGUUUCACUUUUGGAAAGAAAACAAAAGGGCACAAUCGGUGCCCUUGAACGCUUUUUUGACCUAUGUUACAUUGCCUUGGUGGAGCAUCGCUAAAGAUAUACUCGACCAUCGAGAAGGUCCAAUUCUGACGUUUUAGUACUUUUGUCGAUUCUGUGAUUUUUAUAAAGUUUAUUUUGAAACUACAAUUCAAACCGAAUAUAAAAGAGUUCUACGCCAGGUUUGAGCUGUGAUAUUAAUUUAAAAUAAAUGUCAUGAGAUAAGAAGUCUGAGGAUAAAACCUCCAGAAUAUCUCAUAACAAUUCAGUUCCAUCACUGCCAAUAUGUUAAAAC